CACAAGCAGCGGAGCGUGUGGUUUAAUUCGAUGUUUACACGAAGAACCUUACCAGGGUUUGACAUGCAGGUGGUAGUGAAGCGAAAGCGGAACGACUCUUCGGAGAGCCUGCACAGGUGCUGCAUGGCUGUCGUCAGCUCGUGUCGUGAGAUGUUCGGUUAAGUCCGCUAACGAGCGCAACCCCUGCCGUGUGUUACAAGUGUCACACGGGACUGCCGGUCUUAAGCCGGAGGAAGGUGGGAUGACGUCAAGUCAGCAUGGCCUUUAUAUCCUGGGCUACACACACGCUACAAUGGGUGGUACAACAGGUUGCGAAACCGCGAGGCGGAGCCAAUCCGUAAAGCAGGCCUCAGUUCAGAUUGCAGUCUGCAACUCGACUGCAUGAAGCCGGAGUUGCUAGUAACCGCAGGUCAGCAAUACUGCGGUGAAUACGUUCCCGGGUCUU
rnacentral:rRNA from 1 species